UACGUAGGUGGCAAGCGUUGUCCGGAAUUACUGGGCGUAAAGAGCGCGUAGGCGGGUACUUAAGUCAGGGGUGAAAACUGUAGGCUCAACCUACAGCCUGCCUCUGAAACUGGGCACCUUGAGGGUAUGAGAGGAAAGCGGAAUUCCUAGUGUAGCGGUGAAAUGCGUAGAUAUUAGGAGGAACACCAGUGGCGAAGGCGGCUUUCUGGCAUACAACUGACGCUGAGGCGCGAAAGCGUGGGGAGCGAACGGG
rnacentral:rRNA from 1 species